rnacentral:rRNA from 1 species
GGGGAAUUUUCCGCAAUGGGCGCAAGCCUGACGGAGCAAUACCGCGUGAGGGAGGAAGGCUUUUGGGUCGUAAACCUCUUUUAUUGGGGAAGAAGAACUGACGGUACCCAAUGAAUCAGCAUCGGCUAACUCCGUGCCAGCAGCCGCGGUAAUACGGAGGAUGCAAGCGUUAUCCGGAAUUAUUGGGCGUAAAGCGUCCGCAGGUGGUUUAUCAAGUCUGCUGUUAAAGCGUGCAGCUUAACUGCAUAAAGGCGGUGGAAACUGAUGAACUAGAGUUUGGUAGGGGUCACGGGAAUUCCCAGUGUAGCGGUGAAAUGCGUAGAUAUUGGGAAGAACACCAGCGGCGAAAGCGCGUGACUGGGCCUGAACUGACACUCAUGGACGAAAGCUAGGGGAGCGAAAGGGAUUAGAUACCCCUGUAGUCCUAGCUGUAAACGAUGAACACUAGGUGUUGCCCGUAUCGACCCGGGCAGUGCCGUAGCCAACGCGUUAAGUGUUCCGCCUGGGGAGUACGCACGCAAGUGUGAAACUCAAAGGAAUUGACGGGGGCCCGCACAAGCGGUGGAGUAUGUGGUUUAAUUCGAUGCAACGCGAAGAACCUUACCAGGGCUUGACAUGUCCAGAAUGUCUGAGAAAUUAGACAGUGCCUUCGGGAGCUGGAACACAGGUGGUGCAUGGCUGUCGUCAGCUCGUGUCGUGAGAUGUUGGGUUAAGUCCCGCAACGAGCGCAACCCUCGUUUUUAGUUGCCAUCAUUUAGUUGGGCACUCUGAAGAGACUGCCGGUGACAAACCGGAGGAAGGUGGGGAUGACGUCAAGUCAGCAUGCCCCUUACGUCCUGGGCUACACACGUACUACAAUGCUACGGACAAAGAGUUGCCAACUCGCAAGAGAGAGCUAAUCUCAUAAACCGUGGCUCAGUUCAGAUUGCAGGCUGCAACUCGCCUGCAUGAAGGAGGAAUCGCUAGUAAUCGCAGGUCAGCAUACUGCGGUGAAUACGUUCCCGGGCCUUGUACACACCGCCCGUCACACCAUGGGAGUUGGCCACGCCCGAAGUCGUUACUCCAACCAUUCGUGGAGGGAGAUGCCGAA